AUUGAACGCUGGCGGCAGGCCUAACACAUGCAAGUCGAGCGAGCGGCGGACGGGUGAGUAAUGUAUGGGGACUGCCCGAUAGAGGGGGAUAACUCCUGGAAACGGUAGCUAAUACCGCAUACUAUCGGAUAACCCAUAUGGGAUUCGCUAUUAGGGUAGGUAAUGGCUCACCUAGGCGACGAUCCCUAGCUGGUCUGGGAGGAUGAUCAGCCACACGGGGACGGAGACACGGCCCAGACUCCUACGGAGGCAGCAGGGGGGAAGAUUGCACAAUGGGCGCAAGCCUGAUGCAGCCAUGCCGCGUGUAUGAAGAAGGCCCUAGGGUUGUAAGGUACUUUCAGUCGGGAGGCGUUACCGACAGAAGAAGCACCGGCUAACUCCGUGCCAGCCGCCGCGGUAAUAC
rnacentral:rRNA from 1 species